AUUGAACGCUGGCGGCAGGCUUAACACAUGCAAGUCGAGCGGGGUGAUGGUGCUUGCACUAUCACUUAGCGGCGGACGGGUGCGUACUGCUUAGGACUCUGCCUAUUAGUGGGGGACAACAUCUCGGAAGGGAUGCUAAUACCGCAUACGUCCUACGGGAGAAAGCAGGGGAUCACUUGUGACCUUGCGCUAAUCGAUGAGCCUAAGUCGGAUUAGCUAGUUGGUGGGGUAAAGGCCUACCAAGGCGACGAUCUGUAGCGGGUCUGAGAGGAUGAGCCGCCACACUGGGACUGGGACACGGCCCAGACUCCUACGGGAGGCAGCAGUGGGGAAUAUUGGACAAUGGGGGGAACCCUGAUCCAGCCAUGCCGCGUUUGUGAAGAAGGCCUUAUGGUUGUAAAGCACUUUAAGCGAGGAGGAGGCUCUUUUAGUUAAUACCCAAGAUGAGUGGACGUUACUCGCAGAAUAAGCACCGGCUAACUCUGUGCCAGCCGCCGCGGUAA
rnacentral:rRNA from 1 species